UCGGUGGGACUCUCGUCCGUUU
rnacentral:miRNA from 1 species